rnacentral:rRNA from 1 species
UGAACGCUGGCGGCAGGCCUAACACAUGCAAGUCGAACGGUAACAGGAAACAGCUUGCUGUUUCGCUGACGAGUGGCGGACGGGUGAGUAAUGUCUGGGAAACUGCCUGAUGGAGGGGGAUAACUACUGGAAACGGUAGCUAAUACCGCAUAACGUCGCAAGACCAAAGAGGGGGACCUUCGGGCCUCUUGCCAUCGGAUGUGCCCAGAUGGGAUUAGCUAGUAGGUGGGGUAACGGCUCACCUAGGCGACGAUCCCUAGCUGGUCUGAGAGGAUGACCAGCCACACUGGAACUGAGACACGGUCCAGACUCCUACGGGAGGCAGCAGUGGGGAAUAUUGCACAAUGGGCGCAAGCCUGAUGCAGCCAUGCCGCGUGUAUGAAGAAGGCCUUCGGGUUGUAAAGUACUUUCAGCGGGGAUGAAGGGAGUAAAGUUAAUACCUUUGCUCAUUGACGUUACCCGCAGAAGAAGCACCGGCUAACUCCGUG